rnacentral:rRNA from 1 species
UGGGGAAUAUUGCACAAUGGGGGAAACCCUGAUGCAGCGACGCCGCGUGAGCGAAGAAGGCUUUCGAGUCGUAAAGCUCUGUCCUAUGAGAAGAUAAUGACGGUAUCAUAGGAGGAAGCCCUGGCUAAAUACGUGCCAGCAGCCGCGGUAAUACGUAUGGGGCGAGCGUUGUCCGGAAUUAUUGGGCGUAAAGGGUACGUAGGCGGUUUUUUAAGUCAGGUGUCAAAGCGUGGAGCUUAACUCCAUUAAGCACUUGAAACUGAAAGACUUGAGUGAAGGAGAGGAAAGUGGAAUUCCUAGUGUAGCGGUGAAAUGCGUAGAUAUUAGGAGGAAUACCGGUGGCGAAGGCGACUUUCUGGACAGUAACUGACGCUGAGGCGCGAAAGCGUGGGUAGCAAACAGG